rnacentral:rRNA from 1 species
GAGACUGCGAACGGCUCAUUAAAACAGUUAUGGUUUAUUUGAUGGUUCCUUUGCUACUUGGAUAACCGGAGAAUUUCUAGAGCUAAUACNUGCACNAAGGGGCNACUCACGAAGCCCUGUAUUUAUUAGAUUAAAGCCNACCACCUCCGGGUGUUCGUGGUGAAUCAUAGUAACUUCUCGGAUCGCCGGCUCUACGCCAGCGACGUGUCAUUCAAAUUUCUGCCCUAUCAGCUUUAGAUGGNAGGAUAUGGGCCUACCNUGGCGGUGACGGGUAACGGAGAAUUAGGGUUCGAUUCCGGAGAGGGAGCCUGAGAAACGGCUACCACUUCUAAGGAAGGGAGCNGGCGCGCAAAUUACCCAAUCCUGACUCAGGGAGGUAGUGACAAGAAAUAACAAUAAACCGGCUUAUGCCGGUUUAAUUGGAAUGAGUACAAUUUAAACAUCUUAAC